rnacentral:rRNA from 1 species
ACGAACGCUGGCGGCAGGCUUAACACAUGCAAGUCGAGCGCCCCGCAAGGGGAGCGGCAGACGGGUGAGUAACGCGUGGGAAUCUACCCUUUUCUACGGAAUAACGCAGGGAAACUUGUGCUAAUACCGUAUGUGUCCUUCGGGAGAAAGAUUUAUCGGGAAAGGAUGAGCCCGCGUUGGAUUAGCUAGUUGGUGGGGUAAAGGCCUACCAAGGCGACGAUCCGUAGCUG